rnacentral:rRNA from 1 species
UACGAAGGGGGCAAGCGUUGUUCGGAAUUACUGGGCGUAAAGGGCGCGCAGGCGGCUCAUCAAGUCAGAUGUGAAAGCCCCGGGCUCAACCUGGGAAUAGCAUUUGGGACUGAUGGGCUAGAGUUCGGGAGAGGAGAGUGGAAUUCCCAGUGUAGAGGUGAAAUUCGUAGAUAUUGGGAAGAACACCGGUGGCGAAGGCGGCUCUCUGGACCGAUACUGACGCUGAGGCGCGAAAGCGUGGGGAGCAAACAGG